AAUAGAUACCCAGGUAGUCCACGCCGUAAACGAUGAGUGCUAAGUGUUAGAGGGUUUCCGCCCUUUAGUGCUGCAGCUAACGCAUUAAGCACUCCGCCUGGGGAGUACGGCCGCAAGGCUGAAACUCAAAGGAAUUGACGGGGGCCCGCACAAGCGGUGGAGCAUGUGGUUUAAUUCGAAGCAACGCGAAGAACCUUACCAGGUCUUGACAUCCUCUGCCAACCCUAGAGAUAGGGCGUCCCCCUUCGGGGGACAGAGUGACAGGUGGUGCAUGGUUGUCGUCAGCUCGUGUCGUGAGAUGUUGGGUUAAGUCCCGCAACGAGCGCAACCCUUGAUCUUAGUUUGCCAGCAUUCAGUUGGGCACUCUAAGGUGACUGCCGGUGACAAACCGGAGGAAGGUGGGGAUGACGUCAAAUCAUCAUGCCCCUUAUGACCUGGGCUACACACGUGCUACAAUGGAUGGUACAAAGAGCUGCGAACCCGCGAGGGUAAGCCAAUCUCAUAAAGCCAUUCUCAGUUCGGAUUGU
rnacentral:rRNA from 1 species